rnacentral:rRNA from 1 species
UAAUACAUGCAAGUAGAACGCUGAAGGAAGGAGCUUGCUCUUUCCGGAUGAGUUGCGAACGGGUGAGUAACGCGUAGGUAACCUGCCUGGUAGCGGGGGAUAACUAUUGGAAACGAUAGCUAAUACCGCAUAACAGUAGAUAUCGCAUGAUAUUUGCUUGAAAGGUGCAAUUGCACCACUACCAGAUGGACCUGCGUUGUAUUAGCUAGUUGGUGAGGUAACGGCUCACCAAGGCAACGAUACAUAGCCGACCUGAGAGGGUGAUCGGCCACACUGGGACUGAGACACGGCCCAGACUCCUACGGGAGGCAGCAGUAGGGAAUCUUCGGCAAUGGACGGAAGUCUGACCGAGCAACGCCGCGUGAGUGAAGAAGGUUUUCGGAUCGUAAAGCUCUGUUGUAAGAGAAGAACGAGUGCGAGAGUGGAAAGUUCACACUGUGACGGUAUCUUACCAGAAAGGGACGGCUAACUACGUGCCAGCAGCCGCGGUAAUACGUAGGUCCCGAGCGUUGUCCGGAUUUAUUGGGCGUAAAGCGAGCGCAGGCGGUUAGAUAAGUCUGAAGUUAAAGGCUGUGGCUUAACCAUAGUACGCUUUGGAAACUGUUUAACUUGAGUGCAAGAGGGGAGAGUGGAAUUCCAUGUGUAGCGGUGAAAUGCGUAGAUAUAUGGAGGAACACCGGUGGCGAAAGCGGCUCUCUGGCUUGUAACUGACGCUGAGGCUCG